rnacentral:rRNA from 1 species
AUGGAGUGCAACAAGGAUGAGGCCCUUAGGGCGAAGGAAAUUGCAGAGAGGAAGUUCCAAUCCAGGGACCUGCAGGGGGCCAAGAAAUUCGCCCUCAAGGCCAAGGCUCUCUUUCCGGAUCUUGAAGGUAUUGUGCAGCUGAUCACCACCUUGGAUGUUUACCUUACUUCGGAGGUGAAGAUUGCUGGUGGGAAGGACUGGUACUCUAUCCUUUCCGUGGACAUGUCGGCAGAUGAUGAAACUCUGAAGAAGCAGUACAGGAAGUUGGUGCUCCAGCUCCAUCCCGACAAGAACAAGUCAGUUGGUGCUGAGGGUGCUUUCCAGAUGGUUCAAGAGGCAUGGACGGUGCUGUCCGACAAAACCAAGAGAGCGCUGUUUGACCAAAAAAGGAAAUUGAUUGCAAUGCAACAGAAGACAUCUCAAUCAAAUAAGACAAGUGCAGCCAAUGGCUUUGAACAUUUCGCAGCCAAAGCACCCGCUUCCAAGGCAAGUGCAAACAAGGAAAAGACAGGAUCAGCAACAUCUGCAGUGCGUCAGCGCCCGCCCCCGCCCCCACCCCCACAGCGCCCGCCUCCACCCCCACCCCCACAGCGCCCGCUUCCUCGCCAUCAGGCUGCUGCUCCAGCUCCACCUCCAGCAGCACAACCUACAUUUUGGACCUCAUGCAACAAAUGCAAGAUGAAUUUUGAAUACCUCAGAGAGUAUUUAAAUCGCAAUCUGCUUUGCCCUAGCUGCCGCGAGCCAUUCAUAGCAAAAGAGGUGCCGAUGCCACCACCUGAGGUUGUUCAGGCAGUACGUGAUUCAAACAUCCGCGGUGCAACUGAAGAUGCAAGCACUGGCAGAAAGUUUCAGUGGGGUCUGUUCUCAAGGACAGCUGGUCCAGCUAGUGCUACUGCAUCAUCUGCUGCUGGUGCUCAAGCUGCUAAUAUGGUUCAUCAGACGUAUGAGAAAGUCAAGAGAGAGAGGGAGGAGGCACAAGCUGCAGCAAGAAGGGAAGAAGCUCUUCAGAGGAAGCACAAUCCUCUAAAAAGGAAAGCAAAUGUGUCCGAGAAUGUUAACCAUGGAAUGGGUGAUGUUGCAUCUGGGAAGAAGAUGAAAACUGUGGGUAAAGAUGCUGGAGUUGGUUCUUCCUCCAUUCUCUCAGGUGCAUGGGCCAAUUAUGUUGGAACGCCAGGUGGAACUAUACCAUUUUCAACCAACAGUGGAGCCUUUGAGUUUCAAGGUGCUAAUGGCGUGAUACCCAAUUGGAGACCCAGGCCUUCUACUCGGAUCAGCGUAACUAGGACUUUCUCUAAGAAGGAUAUUAGGAGCAUUUUGAUUGACAAGAUGAAGAGCGAUUUGAGAGAGAAGGUGAAGGAGAUAAGAAGUAAACCAGUCCAAGUUACAGUUAAUGGAAAAGCUAGCGAGAAACAUGUGGUUAACAAACAUGUUGAGGGUAAUGAAAGUCUUGCAUCAGAUGAUUCUACUGCAAACAAAGAUGCCUGUGCUGAUCCAGAGGAGAAUGGUUCUGCUAAUAGCGCAGAUGCUGAAAAUGAAGAUGACAACACUUUCUCCUAUACUGUCCCUGAUCCUGAUUUCCAUGAUUUUGACAAGGAUCGUACCGAGGAAUCUUUUCAGAGUGAUCAAAUUUGGGCUUCAUAUGAUGAUGAAGAUGGUAUGCCUCGUUAUUAUGCAUAUAUUCAGAAAGUUAUCUCCUUGACUCCAUUUAAGGUCAAAAUAAGUUAUCUCGCAUCGAGGACAAAUAGUGAGUUUGGACCACUGAAUUGGGCUUCUUCCGGCUUCAUAAAGACAUGCGGUGAUUUCAGGAUUGGUAAAUAUGAAACCAUUGAUAUAAUCAACAUGUUCUCUCACCAGAUUAAAUGGGAGAAAGGUCCACGUGGGGUGGUCAAAAUUUAUCCGCGGAAAGGCGAUAUCUGGGCUUUGUACCGAAAUUGGUCCCCUGAUUGGAGCGGAGAUACUCCUGAUAGUGUGCUUCAUGUUUAUGAUCUGGUUGAGGUACUGGAUGAUUAUGAUGAAGAUAUUGGAAUUUCUGUCAUUCCCUUGAUUAAGGUUACUGGAUUUCGAACAGUUUUCCAGCAUCAUCAGGACCAGGAUGUCAUCAAGAGGAUUCCAAAAGAAGAGAUGUUUCGGUUUUCACACCAGGUUCCCUUUUACAGGAUGUCAGGGGAAGAAGCUCCAAAUGUCUCCAAAGAUAGCUAUGAGGUAGAUCCAGCUGCUAUCUCUAAAGAACUUCUUCAGGGAAUCACAGAAACUGUGAAGGAGGCAGAGGGAACUUCUAAAUGCUGA